AACGAACGCUGGCGGCGUGCCUAACACAUGCAAGUCGUGCGAGAAAGUUCCUUCGGGAGCGAGUAAAGCGGCGCACGGGGUGAGUAACACGUAGGUAACCUGCCCCCCAGUCUGGAACAACUAGAGGAAACUCUAGCUAAUGCCGGAUGAGACCACGAUCCCUUCGGGGGUUGCGGCCAAAGAUGGCCUCUACUUGUAAGCUAUCGCUGAGGGAUGGGCCUGCGGGCCAUUAGCUUGUUGGUGAGGUAACGGCUCACCAAGGCUGUGAUGGCUAGCUGGUCUGAGAGGAUGACCAGCCACACUGGGACUGAGACACGGCCCAGACUCCUACGGGAGGCAGCAGUGGGGAAUAUUGCGCAAUGGGCGAAAGCCUGACGCAGCGACGCCGCGUGGGUGAGUGAAGGCCUGUCGUAGUACCGUACGUACGUCGACGGACGGAAGGUAA
rnacentral:rRNA from 1 species